rnacentral:lncRNA from 1 species
AGGCAGGGGGUGCCUGACUGCCCUGUCUCUGGUGAUGCUGGGGUUUAUCUCGGGGCCAGCGAGGUGAUGCUGGGUUCCCCGCGUUGGACUAUCCCAUUGCUUAGCAACCUCUCAUCAACCUUCUCUGCAUCUGUUGGUCACCCUUGCCUGAAUCCAUGCUUUCAUUAGGGGUUGCAGUUUUGUGAUUUUUCAGGAGCCUCUCUUCAGGGAAAAAGACCCUCACUUCAAACACCUCUGCACUCAGUGUAUCGAAGUGGGGGGAUCUUUGUUAUUAUCUAAGACAAAACCGAGCCUUCAUUUCUUUCGAAGAAAGGCCUCAGGUGGAAGGAAUGAAUCAGUCCCUUUUCGAAGUGGAGACGUUCUCAGGAUGUGUGGAUGCUGCUUCAGGCUCUGUGAGCCGCCUGGGGUCUUGUGUGCAGCGCAGCUGAAACUGCUGCACACACCCCGUCCGUGCGCUGGGUCCGUGUCCAGAAGUUUGCAAGGAACAGCGGCAACUCCUAGAAGCUCCUUUCUAAAAUUCCGAUUUCAUUUUUGCAUCUAAUGUAGGCUGUACCUGCCCCUUAAGGAAAAAAAAAAAAACUUAAUCCCCACCAUAAUCACAGGCUCUCAGUAUCUCGUUUUACAGGUAAGGGCAACAGGCUCAGAGAGGGAACGUCAAAUUCUAGCUAAUUCUGAAAGGUGUGCUGGCCGCAGUAUUUCCACCCUGCAGACCGCGUGGGGACACAGGGCGGGUCCUCUGCGCAGUGACAGCGUGAUAAAUGCUGUCACAGUCGACCCAGGAGGAGUUCUCUGUGAGGGACGUGAGGAACGGGUGCCUCAGAUGAGCCCCGAGGGUGUCAGGCCAAGGGAUGGGAGGGGAAGGCAGAGGGAAGGUUUGAAGGCAGCAUGAAGGCCUGCUUCCCCGGGCUUACAUACUGGCAGGAGAGGAAAGAAUGGACUGGGUUGUUGGGGGCGGGGGGUGCGGUGUAGAAAGGGCUGAUCCUGAGUGAAUGUGUGUGCGUGUGCAUGGGUGUGUAGAAGGGGCUGACCCAGAGGAGGGAGGGAGGGAGCCUGCCUGAGCUAGGUAAGGGCCACGGUGGAGGAACAGGGAAAACCGAGGGCGCCAAUAGCUUCCUGCUUUUAGGGUGGUGCCGUUCCCUCGGCCAUGUGGCAGGAGAGGAUGAAGAGGAUUGUGGAAUCAUUCAUUCAUGGAACAAGCCAUGAUGGUGGCCCUGGGUUGUGCUUGGCAGCGUUUUAGGUUCUGGGAGACAAGAGAGGCUAAGUCCCUGUCCUCACAGAAUUUACAGCCAGAAACACGGCUAUCAAAUACGCAACCAUAUGCAGCUCAGUGGUGACAAACGCUCUGCAGGGCUGAUGAAGGGAGGAGAGGGGAGGGUAAGGUUGGGUGUCUUUGCAUAGGGCAGGUCAGCGAGGCCUUGGAAGCGUGAGCGGUGAGGAAGACCCUGGAUGGGGGAAAGGGGGACAGCUCAGCGCUCACCAGGAAGGGAACUGGGGAAGGGAGCCUGGUCACAGGCCAUCUUGCUGAAAGCCUGCCACAUACCGCACAGCAACCGUCUCACACCUCACACGAGGAGGGCUGUUACUGAAGGAGGUGGCUGACGCUGAAGAACCGGCUCAGGGCCCAGGGUCAUACCUGGAGGAAGAGGAGGGAUCUGAACUGGUGGCCGGACUCCCGGUCAGCCAGGAGCCACUCUGCCCACUGCAUGCUGAGGAGUGGCCGGUGAAGCGGGAGGACGGCCAGGGACAGCUGGGGUCCCAGAGGCCACGGGACUCAGGGUC